rnacentral:lncRNA from 1 species
AGACAGUGUGGUGAUUCCUCAAAGACCAGAACCAGAAAUACCAUUUGACUCAGCAAUCCCAUUACUGGGUAUAUACCCAAAGGAAUAUAAAUAAUUAUAGGAACAACAUCAUGUCAUUUGCAGGGACAUGGAUGGAGCUGGAAGCCAUUAUUCUCAGCAAACUAAUGCAGGAACAGAAAACCAAACACUGCAUAUUCUCACUUAUAAGUGGGAGCUGAACAAUGAGAAUACAUAGACACAGGGUAGGGAAAAACGCACACUGGGACCUGUUUGUGGGGGUCGAGGGAGGGAAAAAUAGCUAAUGCAUGCUGGGCUUAAUACCUAGGUGAUGGGUUGAUAGGUGCAGUAAAUCACCACGGGACACAUUUACCUAUGUAACAAACCUGCAUAUCCUGAAUGUGUAUCCCAGAACUUAAAAUAAAAAUUUAAAAACUUAAAAACAACAAAAGUAAUGAAAUCAGUAUGCUGAAGAGAUAUCUGCACUACCAUGUUCAAUGCAGCAUUCUUCACAAUACCCAAGAUAUGGAAACAACCUAAGUGUCUACCAACAGAAGAAUUAAUUUUUAACAGUGAUAUAUAUGCACAAUGGAAUACCAUUCAGCUCUUUAAAAACAGGAAAUUCUGUCAUUUGCAACAACAUGGAUGAAUCUAGAGGACAUUAUGUGAAAUAAGCAAGGCACAGAGAGACAAAUACUGUAUGAUCUCACUUAUAUAAGGAAUCUAAAAAGUCAAACUCAUAGAAGUAGAGAAUAGAGUGGUGUUUGCCAGAGGCUGGGGAAGAAAGAGGUGAAUGGGGAAAGAGGAGACAUUGGUCAAUUGGUACAAAGGCACAAUUAGGAGAAAAAUUCUGGUGUUAUAUUGAACGGCAAGGUGACUAUAAUUAAUAUUGUAAUGUAUAUUUCAAAAUAUCUAAAAGAGGAUUUUAAAUGUUCUCACACAAAGAAAUGAUAAAUAUUUAAGAUUAUAGAUACACUAAUUACCUGAUUUGAUCAUUUCACAAUGUAUACAAGUAUUGAAACAUCACCUUGUACCCCACAAAUAUAUAUAAUUACUAUUCGUCAAUUAAAAAUAAAAUAAAACUUAAAAAAACAAAUUAACAUCACCAGCAAUAAGACAAAUCAACAUCAUAUAUUUUCUGAUAUGAUGCAUUGAGAAGAUACAACAUGUCCUCUGUAGUAUUAUCAUCAAAAAUGCAUAACCUUAAUCUAAUCAUAAGAUUCAAUCAAUCCAAACUGAGGAACACUCAACAAUAAAAGUAGUAAGUGGAAUUCAAAGAUGGCUCCCAAGUUUCCCUUUCUCUAGUGUUAACCCCUCUUUUUUAGUGUGGUUGUAACCUUUAAAUAUGAUGAGAUAAUCAAUGUCUUGAUUAGGUUACAUUUUAUGGCAAAGGUGAUGAAAUACUAACUAUUAUAAUAAUGUUACAUUACAUAAGAAUCUUCCAUAGCAGACUAGAGAUUUCUCUGCUGGCUUCCAAGAAGUAAGCUGCUAUAUUGUGAGAGGUACACAUGACUAGGACCUGAUGGAAGCAUCUAAAAACAGAGCAAACCCUUGACAAUAGCAAAAAAAAAAAAAAAAAAAACGAAGACUGCAGUCCUCAAACUGUUAGAACUAUAUUCUGCCAACAACCAGCGAAUCUGGAAGGGGAUCCCAAGCCUCAGGUAAGAUCACAGCCUCAGGUGACAUUUUGAUUUCAGCCCACUGGUACCUGGAGCAGAGAACUCAGCUAAUGCAUACCUGGACUUUUGAGCCAUGAAAGCUGUGAGGUAAUAAAUUUGUGUUGUUUGCAGCCUCUAAAUUUUUGGUAGUUUUAUGCAGCAAUAGAAAAUAAUACAAUAACUGACACACACUCUCCAAAACUUUCAAGGUCAUGAAAGACAAGGAAAGAUUGAAGGCCUGUCACAGAUUAAAAGAGAACAAAGAGAAGUGACAACUAAAGGCAAUGUGAGAUCCUGAGUUACACCUUGGGACAGAAAAAUACAUUAGUUGUAUAACUGGUGAAAUGUAAAUAAAGUGUGUAGUUUAAUUUAACAUAUUGUACCAUGUUAAUUUCCAAUUUUUUAUAAUUAUACUAUGGUUAUGUAAGUUAUUAACAUUAGGGAAAAAAGGGUGAGGGGAAAUGAAAAUUUUUAUCUCCUUUUUAAAAUUUCUCUGGACUGUAACAUUAUUUUAGUAAUAAAGAGUUUAAAAAUAAAACCUGGAUGGUGGGAGGCCAAGGAGGGCGGAUCACCUGAGGUCAGGAGUUCAAGACCAGCCUGGCCAAGAUAGUGAAACCCCAUCUCUACUAAAAAUACAAAAAUUAGCUGGGUGUGGUGGCGGACGCCUGUAAUCCCAGCUACUAGGGUGGCUGAGGCAGGCGAAUCGCUUGCACCCGAGAAAGAGAGGUUGCAGUGAGCCCG